CUUCCAGUCUGAGGAAACAGGACCAGCUGAGGAACUGGUGAGGAAUUUUAUCUCAGUAACCCCUUCACUGACCUGUCCUUGAGGAUGGAGAUGAAACAAGAUUCUACCAUUGCACUGUAACCGUGGCUCUGCCUCAAAAUAAAUCACCAGCAACAAUGAAGCAUCCUUUGUGCUUAAUCUAUUCAUUCAAAAAGAUGAGUGGGUUCAUAAGCAAAAAGUUAGCAGUCAACCCUCAACAUCUACUUACUGCUGAAGAAAUGUGGAACAUGCUAAACCCUGGCGUCAGGCUGAUGAAUUCUCAACACAAAUCAUCCAGGCAGGCCAGUUCCCAUCGCCAGUCCCAUGUCCUUAAUUACUAAAUCCUGGUCUUCUAUGCUGAAAAUUGAAACAGGAAGACAGAUGAGGAAUGUGCAGGCUCAGUUUCCAAGGUCUUGCUCCUGUGUUUCUGAAGCCCAAGUGGAUCCUGACCUUCUGCUACAGGGUGGAGGACUGAUGUUGUCAUUCAGUGGCCAGAAGCUUCAUCUGUUUUUGAUCAUAGUGCCACCUAGAUCACUGUUGUAUAAUCUCAGAUUUCUUAAGGGAUCAAGUUUUUGUUAUAGUUUUUGUGUCAAUUUUUUUUUUGGCAGUGGCCAAGAAGCCCCACACACUCUUUACAACUCUCUAUUUCUCAUCAAAAGUGAAAUACAGUUAUGGAGAGAUGGGGGAAGACUGGAACAUGAAGAUUAAAUGGGGAGGAAGUGAAACAGAGGGGUAAGGAAGGGGAAACUGAGAGAGACACCUAAUACUAAGGACCAUUCAAGGCUCAUAUGAGACCCUACUACAGUAGAAGCAUCUUAAAAUAUGUGAAAGAAUUCUAAAUGGAACUACCAAAUAGUUCAGGAGACAAAGCCUCAACUAGACCUCUCUCAUCACUGAGUGAAAUUCCCAGCGUCAGGAGUAUGUUACACCUAAUUGAGUUGUUGACCAACAGCAUUCCCUGACAAUCACCAAACAAAUCAGGCUAUUGCCAAGGCUAUUGGUUGUUCUCUACAAAUGGGUGGUAAGGUCCUAUCACUGUCUCAUUUUCCACAGAGAAGUCAAGCCGGUGCCUAAUUAGACUUCCCACUCCCACUGACUAGUGUUCAUAGUCCUGGAAAUAACUCUGCAUGCUACCAAAGAAAACCCCAACUUUAAACCCUGCAACUGACAGUGGUAACCUGCCUAAAGAACACACUGGUACAAUUGUUGCACAAAUGUGGGAGUAAGCAACCACUAUCUAAUUUGAUUUAAGGUCCACUACAUGAGGUGGAACCCAUGAAUAACAUUGCUCAGGUGGCCAAGAACCUGAGAUGGCAUAGACCAUAGGCCUAGGGAAAACCAAAUAUUCUUGUUCUGCUAAAGGAACAUAGUAAUAAUACAACUGACAAAAUUCUGCUAAAAUGACAGAUAAGUAUCUACCCAGCCAUCAUCAGCAAAGCUUCCUUUUGCAUUAGAUGGGAACUAAGACAGAGACUCACAACUGGACCAUGAGCAGAGAGUGAGAGCUUUAGAACAGUUAAUUCUAAAAGAGAUAUCAUCAUCAAAUUCAUCCCCUCAGGGCUCAGGAAGUUAUGCAGAAAAGGAGGCAGAAAGAUUGUAAGAUCCAGAGGGGAUUUGUCUCCAUACUCAAAAGGACUGAUGUACAUAUUAACUCACAGAGACCGUGGCAGCAUGCACAGGACCUGCACAGGUUCAAGUGAAACUUGGUCCCAGCCCUGAGAGGGGCACAUGGACAUAACAUUCCAUUCCUAAUCAAGGAGCUGUCUCCAACUGACAAUUGUGUUGCAAAGGUACAAUGAGUCUUUUCCAAUGGAGACCUGCUGGGUAUAUUAAAACACACUUAGUGUUAGGCCCUAUGUGUAGCUGCAAUAAAUGGCCAACAAAAAAUAAAGUCAAUGGUAUUUUUCUAAAA